CCUCCUCUGCUGUAUAGUCACUCACGAUGCCCAACGUUGCGCGAAUCUCCGCGUGGUCUUUGCAUGCCGCGAUCACGUCAGCGACUCCCUGGCAAGUGAGAUCAAGAAGUCCUUUGAUGUUUAGGUAGUUCGCAGCCGUGAUGAGGUCAUAGACCGUGGACAGAUCCAUUUGCUUGAUGAACUUAUCGUCCCACUUCUUGAGAGCAUCAGCGGAGGCGGCGGAAGAAGAAUUGGCACCACCGUCGACGACGACUACGACGUGGUUCUUGCAGUACUCGACCACCUUCGAGAGGACUUCGCCUGUGACCUCGUCAAUCUUGCAUUCACGAGCGCCGCUGCAAUCUUCAAAAAGAUUCGACAAGAGCUGCGACUGAAGUACCACCGCUUCGUCCACUUCAAAGGAUUCAUCGUCGGAGCUCUUCAACACGAACAUCUCCAUCGUCCUUCUUUGCUGCGUGGCGAUUUUCUCGUAAGAAGAUUUGAACGAAGAAUGAAACAAGUAAGCGAGCGAGUGGAUAGAAAAGGUGGUGAAUGAAGUUAUUAUGGGCUCAUGCACUCUAUUUAUAGGCGUUUAGUAGGAAGCACACAUCAGGUAUCUAUUGAGAGUCAACUAUUUAACUGAGAAAGCUAACAGAAAUUCAUGAAAUAUACACAUUAGCACCAACGGAGUUACUAUUUCGAUCCUAAUGAAUUGGUACCAUUAUCAUCACAUCAUCAUAAUGAUAGAUAUAUAUCUUUUCCAUCAUAAUCAUAUCAACGUUUGAAUUAUAAAAUACGAAAGUAGAUAUCUUUUAUUGGACUUUUUUUUUAGUUUGGGUUCCCAAAUUUAAAGUAAGGAAAAAUACUCAACUAAUAUUUUACUAAUUACUUUUGAGAUAUUUCAUUACACCUUCCCAAUGGAGAUGAUCAAGAUGCAUAAAUUUGGUAGUUUAUAAAACUCCAAAAAACAAAAAGUCCAAACAAAGAAAAACUCCAAACCAUGGAAAGACAACUAAAUCCAAUCAGAAAAAAAAAAACUAGAUAUCAAGCGAAACUUCUAGAACCUUAGAAUAUAUCGAAAAAAGCAGUAGAUGUCGGUCGCUAGCUCUCACAACAUUAACGAAACAAUCCAACCUCUGGACAAAUGCUUGCUGGUAUUGUUUUACAUAUAUAUAUAUAUAUAUAUAUAUAUAUUCAACUAAGAGAUUGAAAAAUAAAGACUUAGCAGAAGCACUUGUUGUAGCUUCUAAGGUUAGCCGAAGCACUUGUUGUAGCUUCUAAGGUUAUGGAAAGCAUUACACAAAAAUGUUUGGAAACUAUAUGUCAAAGGUUAAUCAGUUACAAGAGAUGGAGCAUUUGGUAUCAGAAUUAGCAAGAGUGAGUGAGUAGAAGAGAAGGAUCAUUAACACAAGAUUUCUUGGACUCGAAAAGGCUCCUAGUUUAUAAAACCUUCUUCUACAUAUGUACACAUUAUAAUCACCAUACUUCAAUUUUUAGAGUUUUGAAAUGCCUUUCUCUUUUCUUUUAUGUUGUGCAAUGUUUCCUCUAAAGAGUUAACUUAUCCAACACCAAAAGAAGAGUCACGUCAUGUUAGUGAAAACAACUCUGGUUCUCUUGAUAGAGAUUUAGCUAUACAAGUUUUGAGCUUGUGCAUAGGAAAGCCAAUGAACAAAAGGACUUUAAAUCGAUAGAGAGCAAAGAUCAUUGACAGAAGAUUUCUUAAAACGCAAGUUUCACAUGUACAAAACUUCUUCUAGAUAUAUGAAGUUUAUCAUCAUCCUCUGUUUUCUUGAUCUUGUUUAAGAUUAAUCAAGAAUUGCCUUUUCUUGUUCUGAAAGCCAAAGACGAGUCAUGUUUAGUGAACACAACUCUCUUGUUCUCAUGGUUAUCGAUGUAAAGACUCUACUAUAGUCUGAGACUUUGAAACCCAAUUCAGAAAGCAUAAACUCAUACGAUCAACAACAUCUUGCUUUAUAAGACUUCUGUUCAUCUAAUAUACGAUCAAGAACACUGUUCAUAUUCACAAAAUCGAAACAAGAAAGCCAUGUUCAACUAUUAUCGAUUUAAAGAUCCGUAAACACAAAGAUUCGAAAAGAAAGAGUAGCUAGGGUUUAGAUUAACCCGCUCACUCAUUCAUCAAUCAAAAGCCCACUCGUUCUCCUUGAGAACCUCUGCUUCCUCCUCUGCUGUAUAGUCACUCACGAUGCCCAACGUUGCGCGAAUCUCCGCGUGGUCUUUGCAUGCCGCGAUCACGUCAGCGACUCCCUGGCAAGUGAGAUCAAGAAGUCCUUUGAUGUUUAGGUAGUUCGCAGCCGUGAUGAGGUCAUAGACCGUGGACAGAUCCAUUUGCUUGAUGAACUUAUCGUCCCACUUCUUGAGAGCAUCAGCGGAGGCGGCGGAAGAAGAAUUGGCACCACCGUCGACGACGGCGACGUGGUUCUUGCAG
rnacentral:lncRNA from 1 species